rnacentral:rRNA from 1 species
GAUGAACGCUGGCGGCGUGCCUAAUACAUGCAAGUCGAGCGAACGGACGAGAAGCUUGCUUCUCUGAUGUUAGCGGCGGACGGGUGAGUAACAGGUGGAUAACCUACCUAUAAGACUGGGAUAACUUCGGGAAACCGGAGCUAAUACCGGACAAUAUUUUGAACCGCAUGGUUCAAAAGUGAAAGACGGUCUUGAUGUCACUUAUAGAUAGAUCCGCGCUGCAUUAGCUAGUUGGUAAGGUAACGGCUUACCAAGGCAACGAUGCAUAGCCGACCUGAGAGGAUGAUCGGCCACACUGGAACUGAGACACGGUCCAGACUCCUACGGGAGGCAGCAGUAGGGAAUAUUCCGCAAUGGGCGAAAGCCUGACGGAGCAACGCCGCGUGAGUGAUGAAGGUCUUCGGAUCGUAAAACUCUGUUAUUAGGGAAGAACAUAUGUGUAAGUAACUGUGCAUAUCUUGACGGUACCUAAUCAGAAAGCCCCGGCUAACUACGUG